rnacentral:misc_RNA from 1 species
AAUCGCCAUAAUUAGUUUUAAGGUAAUUGUAAUUCUCCAAAUUUAAAAAAUACUCAUUUCAGUUAGAUUUCUUUUUAACUACUUUGCAUUAGUAACAUAAAUUCGGAAAAAAAUCUUAACAAUGUUACUGAUUCAAGGUUGUUUGCCUUCAUAGUCUACUUAUAACUAUUUAAUGUUCAAAUUUGUUAAAUAAAAGGUGAAGGUGUUCAAAUUUGAGAACAGGGGAACCCUUUUAUUUUUCAUUUUCAAUAAAAUGAGGUAAUUACUGUGAAAUAUCCCAGCCAAUUGAAAUCUCUGUAUACAACAUAUAAAUUUUUUCCUUUUCAACAUGAUAGGGACUUGUGGGCUUCUGUGUGGGAUGUGAAUUCAAAAUGGGGAACACCAACAUCUCACCCAAACACAAACACACAGAGGAAGGGAUUAGAGAAUUUCUUUGAAU